GACAGAGGUGCCGAGCGUUAGGCGGAAUCACUGGGCUUAAAGCGUGUGUAGGCGGACCGUUAAGUACCUUGUGAAAUCCCCCGGCUCAACCGGGGAACGGCUGGGUAUACUGGCGGUCUUGAGCCAUCCAGGGGCAGUCGGAACAGACGGUGGAGCGGUGAAAUGCGUAGAUAUUCGGAAGAACACCAGUGGCGAAGGCGACUUACUGGACACGUAUUGACGCUGAGGUGCGAAAGCGUGGGGAGCAAACAGG
rnacentral:rRNA from 1 species